rnacentral:rRNA from 1 species
UGCGUAGGUGGUUAUUUAAGUCCGUUGUGAAAGCCCUGGGCUCAACCUGGGAACUGCAGUGGAUACUGGAUGAUUAGAAUGUGGUAGAGGGUAGCGGAAUUCCUGGUGUAGCAGUGAAAUGCGUAGAGAUCAGGAGGAACAUCCAUGGCGAAGGCAGCUACCUGGACCAACAUUGACACUGAGGCGAAAGACGUGGGGAGCGAAACA